UUCCCGCAGCCCCAGGUCCAUCCUCUGGCUCCCCCCAACAGGCAGCCUCAGAAGGGAGAUGGGACGGUGCCUGGGGUCCUGGGCAGGGACCAGAGCCUCUGGAUCCUGGUGGUCUGGUCUCCUGGGCAGAGAUGCUCCUGCAGCUGUCCCUGACAGCGGCCAGGUGUAUCUGCAAACUGCUCCCUGAGUCAGAGGCCCGGGAACUGAGGACAUAUGAUAAGAAGGACCCUCAGGGACGUCUUGGGAGAUCUGUGGCCUUUGCUGGACAGACUUCAUCCUGAAACUCACAAGGUGUCCUUCAUAUACCUCUUUUCUGCCUCCAAAGUGGCCGUUCAGCCCACACUUCCGGCAUCUUCUGCAGCCCUUGUCCUAUGGCCACGUUGUUUAUGGUUGAGGUGCUGUUUAACUUUGAAUCUUUCCUCCUCGAAUAUCUGGGAGUGUUAAAAGGAUGCCAACAUCAUUCUGGCGGUGGAAUUCAAGUUGAAAUGCAGCCAGAACGUGGAACGCUGAGAAGCUGAUGCGUUUCCGGCGGACACAACAUCUUUGUUUGUAUGUGGUGCUGAGGAUCGAACCCGGGCCACACGCAUGCCAGGCGAGCGCGCUACCACUUGAGCCACAUCCCCAGCCCCAAGUAAAUAAAGUUUUAUUGGCACACAGCCA